UGCAGAUGUAAAGAAUAUUGUAAAUAUUGAAAAUAAAGAAUAUUGUAAAUAUUGAAAAUGAUAGCCAAGUAGAUAAUUCAGACUUUAUACCUGAAAAGUUUUUGAUCCUCAAACAAAAAACCCACACAUCAGACCUACUUUUACUAAUUGAAAAAAAUAUUUUUGUGUCUGGUGGGAGCAUUACUGUAUUAUUAUUGAAGAGAUGGCAGAAGAGACUGACUGUCAACAACAUGCAGAAACAGAACAUACGAAAGAGGUCCACUGUGUUAAAAGCAGGACAACAACUGUCAAUUGAAUCUUGCAUUUGCAAAUGCAGUGCAUGACCCUUUAGACAAAUUCUUUGGUGAUGAUGAGGAUGACAAUUUCCAUAUACAGUGCCUAGAACACAACUUUUAGGUUCAAUAUAUUGGGCAUUACUGUUCAAUGUAUGUAUACUGUGUAUAUCCAUCACUCUUUUGAUAUUGCAUGUUACAAACUAUUCCAAAGAUUUUAUUUUUUGCCCCCCCCUUUAUGUUCAAAAUAUUUUCUCCCCCCCCCCUUCACUGGUCAAAAAUUUUUUGUGGCCUCUUUAUAUUAAAUUUUUUUGUUACAUUUACUAGGAAUGGUAUGCUGGAUAUGUUUUAAAAGAGGGCAUACAAAAAUUGUGUGCCCAAAUAGAGCAAAAACCCACUCAGACAGUUGUUCAAGAACAACAUAAUUGGCACAAUUGCCAUGAUAUUAAAUUCAUUAAGUAACUUUGUGUAUGUUAUAAUGUGUGAAUGUUGUGUGAGUGUUGUUUGUUAAUUUUAAUUUAUUUGUUAGGCCAUUAAUAAAUAUUCUUGGUUUGAAAAAUUUUUUUUGGGGGGGGGAUGUCCCCACUGCUGGUGCCACCACUGGAAAUAUCAGCUAAUUAUAGCCAGGCAUAGCUUCAAUAAAAUAUAUUGAAGUAAAUAUGACAUCAAAUAUCUCUUUUAUUAAAAGCGAUAGCUAUGUGCGUGUUUCACUUGUAUAAUUUGGGACAACCCGAAAAUACCCUUAUGGAAUUAACAAAAUAAAACAUGGGUAUGAGACCAAGAAUACUUAUUGAUGGCCUGUAAUAGUAAUAUAAUAAUAUUGUAUAUAUG